GCUGGCUUAGAUCAAUGGUAGAUCGUCUCCCUCCUAUCCUGAGUUAUGAUAGAGGAGAAGGUUGCGGGUUCGAGUCCCGUGGUUAGUG